UACGAAGGGGGCUAGCGUUGCUCGGAAUCACUGGGCGUAAAGGGUGCGUAGGCGGGUCUUUAAGUCAGGGGUGAAAUCCCAGAGCUCAACUCUGGAACUGCCUUUGAUACUGGGUAUCUCGAGUAUGGAAGAGGUGAGUGGAAUUCCGAGUGUAGAGGUGAAAUUCGUAGAUAUUCGGAGGAACACCAGUGGCGAAGGCGACUCUCUGGUCGGAAUCUGACGCUGAGGUGCGAAAGCUAGGGGAGCAAACGGG
rnacentral:rRNA from 1 species